GUGUCAGCCGCCGCGGUAAUACGUAGGGGGCAAGCGUUGUCCGGAUUUAUUGGGCGUAAAGAGCGUGUAGGCGGCCAGGUAGGUCUGCUGUGAAAACUCGAGGCUCAACCUCGAGAUGUCGGCGGAAACCAUCUGGCUAGAGUCCGGAAGAGGAAAGUGGAAUUCCCGGUGUAGCGGUGAAAUGCGCAGAUAUCGGGAAGAACACCCGUGGCGAAGGCGGCUUUCUGGGACGGUACUGACGCUGAGACGCGAAAGCGUGGGGAGCGAACAGGAUUAGAAACCCCGGUAGUCC
rnacentral:rRNA from 1 species